AGCGGAGGAAAAGAAACCAACAGGGAUUGCUCUAGUAACGGCGAGUGAACAAGCAAAAGCUCAGUUUUGAAAGCCUCUUCGGAGGCAUUGUAUUCUGAAGCCUAGAUUCUGGGAACCGGUACUUAAGUCUUCUGGAAAGGAGCGCCACGGAGGGUGAUAGCCCCGUACGGUACUGACCCCAUUGUAGUUUCUAGGCGUGGAGUCGAGUUGUUUGGGAAUGCAGCUCAAAUGGGAGGUAUGCUCCUUCUAAAGCUAAAUAUUUGCGAGAGACCGAUAGCGAACAAGUACUGUGAAGGAAAGAUGAAAAGAACUUUGAAAAGAGAGUGAAAUAGGACGUGAAAUUGUUGAAAUGGAAGGGUAGGCCGCUAACCAUGUAGGACCGUGUUUGAGGGGAAGAUAAAAGCUUCGGAACGUAGCUCCUCGGAGUGUUAUAGCCGAAGUCAAUGUUCCCACUCGAGCGCGAGGAUCUCAGU
rnacentral:rRNA from 1 species